GAUGCCUCUUCCUGUCCAUAUCACUUGCUUCUGCAUAAAGUGGGUGCAGAAGAUAAUGAGACGGAUUUGACCGCGGUGAACAGGCAGGCACACAAGAUGGAGCAGGCCCUGGUGAUAAACCCCAAUUCAAGUGAGAGGAAGUAUGAGGAACCAGAUUGGAAGAUGGAGUCCAGUGCCCAGAGAUCAUGGUCCAGGCAGCUUGAUAAACCAGAGGGAUAGUCUGAGAGAGAAACUGAAGGUCAAAAUCAACGCAGUGGUGCCGAACAGAAGGGCCCGAGGUGCGAUGAGUAUAAUAUGAACACGAAGGAAAACAGCGAGUUCAGAAGCCUGGAGAAUCAGAAGCAGGUCAAGCGCUGGGGUUCAGGGCAAAGACCCUGAACACUGUGAAGGUGUUGGAGACCUGUUUUGAGGUGGCACUGCGGCUCAAUGUGAGUGCAGACCUGAG
rnacentral:lncRNA from 1 species